CAAAUUAGAGCUUGACUAUAAAGUAUUUUAUUUACAUUAAAAAGUUAUUUGUGAAAAUCAAUUUAAUUUGA
rnacentral:tRNA from 1 species